rnacentral:rRNA from 1 species
CGAGACCUCAGGUCAGGCGGGGCUACCCGCUG